UGGACUUUGAGGCGUCUGUGUGCGCGCCCAUGACAGGCAGACCGGCGCUGUUAGCUCCUCCUCCACGAUGUUACCGUGAGCCUACUUUCAGGAUGCCGCCGUUUUUUUCCCUAGUUGACAUUGGCUAACAUCGGCGUGUGACGAGGGCGGGACAGGGGCUGUCACUUUUGCUUGUGCUACCUCAGUGUCGCCGCUGCCGUGGUCACCAUGCCUCCUGUCCAGGACUCUGCUCAGCCUAAUGCAGAUGCUGAGAUGGCAUGCGAUGAAGCUGAUGGUUUGGAUUCUCCCAUGGGAUCCCGGGAGUUCUCCGAACCUCCCCUGUCUACGUACUUCGAGGAGAAGGUGCCCAUUCCAGAAGAUUCCAAGGAUGGCUUCAGCUUUCGGAAGCUUUGGGCAUUUACGGGGCCUGGAUUUCUCAUGAGCAUUGCUUACCUGGAUCCAGGAAACAUCGAGUCAGACCUGCAGUCUGGUGCCAAGGCUGGCUUCAAGCUCCUCUGGGUUUUGCUGUUUGCUACUGUGAUUGGUCUCUUGCUGCAGAGACUGGCUGCUAGGCUAGGUGUGGUGACCGGUAUGCAUUUAGCAGAAGUGUGUCACCGCCAGUACCCCAAGGUCCCUCGCAUUAUCUUGUGGCUUAUGGUUGAGACGGCUAUUAUCGGUUCAGACAUGCAGGAGGUCAUCGGCUGUGCUAUCGCCUUCAACCUGCUUUCCUCGGGCAGGAUUCCUCUGUGGGGUGGAGUUCUCAUCACCAUUAUUGAUACGUUUAUGUUUCUUUUCCUGGACAAGUAUGGCUUGAGGAAGUUGGAAGCCUUCUUUGGCCUUCUCAUUACCAUUAUGGCACUCACAUUUGGGUACGAGUAUGUGAUUGCCAAGCCUGACCAGGGCCAGCUGCUGAAGGGCAUGUUCCUUCCUUACUGUCAGGGCUGUGGAGCCCCUCAGCUAGAGCAGGCUGUGGGCAUCGUAGGAGCCGUCAUCAUGCCUCACAACAUAUACCUGCACUCUGCUCUAGUCAAGUCUCGGGAAAUAAAUCGAUCUAACAAGAAGGAAGUGAAGGAGGCAAACAAAUACUUCUUCAUUGAGUCCUGCAUUGCGCUGUUUGUCUCCUUCCUCAUCAAUGUCUUUGUCGUGGCUGUCUUUGCCCAGGCCUUUUUCAAUAAGAAAAACAGUGAUGUGCAUGCAAUCUGUGCCAACAGCACUGGCCCCCACAGCCCUCACUCUGCCCUUUUUCCAGAUGAUAACAAGACACUGGAGGUUGACAUCUACAAAGGGGGGGUGGUUCUUGGCUGCUUUUUUGGACCUGCUGCCCUCUACAUAUGGGCCUUGGGAAUACUAGCAGCUGGACAGAGCUCAACAAUGACGGGCACCUACUCUGGCCAGUUUGUCAUGGAAGGCUUCCUGAAUCUAAACUGGUCUCGUUUUGCAAGAGUCCUUCUUACUCGGUCCAUUGCCAUCACGCCAACCUUGCUGGUUGCCAUCUUCCAGGAUGUUGAGCACCUGACUGGCAUGAAUGACUUUCUCAAUGUGCUGCAGAGCAUGCAGCUGCCGUUUGCAUUGAUCCCAAUACUCACUUUCACCAGUCUUGGUUCCAUCAUGGAUGACUUUGCCAACUCGCUGGCCUGGAAGAUCGGCGGUGGAGUGGUCAUCCUGGUAGUGUGUGCGAUCAACAUGUACUUUGUUAUAGUGUAUGUGACCAGUCUGGCCAAUGUUACGCUUUACGUGGUAGCUGCCCUCCUCUCUGUGGCAUACUUGCUGUUUGUUGGCUAUCUGGUGUGGCUGUGCCUGGUUGCAUUGGGGGUCUCCUGCCUGGACAUGGGGCACAGGGUAAGGGACAAUCACAUGGUGUUUACUGAGGAGCCGUCAGAGACAGACACUUGAGCCGAACGUUUGGGAAGAGGCGGCGAUGCUAGUAGAUGCCGUUUCGGAGAACUCCAGUGCAGACUUUUUCUUUCUUUUUUUUUUUUUAACACUAUGCGUCCAUUUCCUUGUGAGAAGCUGCUAUGAGACACAAACUCCAGAAGCUUGCUGGCCACCCGUUCUGUCGGGGCUGUGCCCGGAGGUCCAUUUUUGGGCAUGUUACAGAGCUCCUCUGCGUGUCCAUUCAGGUGGGCUGACCACCUGUUAAGUAUAGACUAGAUUCAGUAGGGUCAGUUUGCCACAGUGGUCACUCAGUUAAGAGCCAUGGGGGACACACAGCCAGAUGGCCGGCUGGGGUGGCCUUUGUGUCUCAUUUUUAUUGCUGGAGAAAACUGUGCAAUAUGUAAAGGUGCCCAAUAAAGUGUCUUGUGUCCACCCGGGCAGCACUUGAGGCUUUUGUGUGUUCACUUCAGGAGAGAGAUGUGGCCCCGGCGUAUCGCUCAGCGGUGGCUUCAACGCAUGAAAUAAAUGGUGUCUGCCUCGCACUGAGCUUCUCCUCCUGUCCUCUCUGCCUGCCACACCAUCUUGUUUGUCAUUUCUCUUGCUUGCCUACUCACUAACCUCCUGGUCACUGCUCUUUGACGCCCCCCCCCGUCGUCUUCUUGAACGUGACUUUGUCACCUUAUGAGUUCUUCUAUGCUACAUGUGAAUCUCGCUGGCUGUCCCCCAUUGCCUGUGUCACUGGUCUGUCCUCCCCGACCACCUCCACCACAUCUCUCACUGGACUUGUGUUCACGGGAGGCCAAGGAUUGCCUGGACGCUUGAUUUGGUGUUUAUCAGCUGGUCAUCACCCCACGGACACAGAAUGUCAAUUUGGGCCACCCAACAGAUGACUUCCAUGCUUGCGGCCGGACUGUCCUGGUAUGCCACACUCCGGUGAGCACGCAGCUUGCACCCGUUGUGUCUCACUGGCCACUCCGACCUCCUCCUCCUCAACGAUUUAGAGCCCAGCCCCGGUGUGGACAGAUAGUGACCCUUGGCGCUCUCCUUCUGGAUGUGUCUCUGUUGCUCAGUAGGGGCACAGCCUCAGGUGUAUACCCUCUUGUCCAGGCCAGUUGGUUUGGUGGUGGCACACUUCUCUCUCUUUCUUUCUCUCUGGUAUUUUUUUUUCCCAUUGAUAUGCCCAUUUUCCUCUUUCCCAUUACUGGUCUCAGUUGGUUGACCAUUGCUCGUUCCAUAAAUGUGCCAGCCAGUUUCUCUCAAGGGUCAGCCGUGGUCCAAAUAAGUGGCUACAGUAGGCAUUUGACUUGGCCCGGCAAGCAUCUUCAAACAAGGCCCCUGGCUACUGUCAGUCCUUUGGGGCAAACGCUGCCUGAAAGUGCCCAUGAAGAGGAGUUGGUCACACAGUGCUGACGGUGUGGCCUGGACAACCUCGUUACCCUGACACCUGCAACAGUCCAUCCUACGAGGUACUUCACUGGUCCCCUGCUGGUCAGGGAUGGCAGGACCAGGCAAAAGCCACCAAGGACGAGUCUGGCGAUGGCUGACGUGAGAGGAGGGCCUGGACAUUGUGCUGGGAGUGCAGCUUUCUUACAAGGUUGAUUAUUGUCUAUGGAAUGUCCUACCCACGCUUGACGUUGGUCCCUGUCCACCUAAAAUUAAAAGGAAGUCCUCUUGUA